GAAAAGAGUAAUCUGCUUUAGGAGUCGCGUUGACGUAAGGAAAUUGGUUUUUAUAAUUUAAAUAGCAGUAAGGAAGCAAAAUAAAUGUUUCUUCUACCGAUUUGCCAAGGUCAUGCCUUUAUUGUCUAAUGUUUCAAAAUGUUGGUAGUGAAAAAAAACUUUGUUGUGGGUUUAUGAGAAACCAAGAUCCUUUUCUCAAAUGGAAAAAGACUUUUCUGGUCAGAUUGCACAAAAAUUUUUCGAACUUUUUCCUUGCAAAAACUCUUCAUUAGGAUCUUGCAGUUAUAUCAUAGUUGUCUUGUGGCUACAAUGGUGUCCCUGCCAUGUUUGACUGCAUCUAGUUCUAUUUGUAGUCUGUACAAAAAAAAUUAAUACAAGUAUCAUGAAACAACCAA